rnacentral:tRNA from 1 species
GGCAUGCUGGUCUAGUGGUAUGAUUCUCGCUUUGGGUGCGAGAGGUCACGGGUUCGAUUCCCGUGCAAGCCC